UACAGAGGUCUCAAGCGUUGUUCGGAUUCAUUGGGCGUAAAGGGUGCGUAGGCGGCGCGGUAAGUCGGGUGUGAAAUCUUGGAGCUUAACUCCGAAACUGCAUUCGAUACUGCCGUGCUUGAGGACUGGAGAGGAGACUGGAAUUUACGGUGUAGCGGUGAAAUGCGUAGAUAUCGUAAGGAAGACCAGUGGCGAAGGCGGAUCUCUGGACAGCUCCUGACGCUGAGGCGCGAAGGCUAGGGAGCAACGGG
rnacentral:rRNA from 1 species